rnacentral:rRNA from 1 species
CCAGACUCCUACGGGAGGCAGCAGUCGGGAAUAUUGCAUAAUGGAGGAAACUCUGAUGCAGUGACACCGCGUAUAGGAAGAAGGUCUUAGGAUUGUAAGCUAUUGUCGUGUGAGAAGAAAAUGACCAUCACAGGAGGAAGCCCUGGCUAAAUAUGUGCCAGCAGCCGCGGUAAUACAUAUGGGGCGAGCGUUAUCCGGAUUUAUUGGAUGUAAAGGGUGCGUAGGCGGGAAAAUAAGUCAGUAUGUGAAAUCCCUCGGCUCAACUGAGGAACUGCAACUGAAACUAUUUUUCUUGAGUGUUGAAGGGGAAAGUGGAAUUCCUAGUGUAGCGGUGAAAUGCGUAGAGAUUAGGAGGAACACCAGUGGCGAAGGCGGCUUUCUGGACUGCAACUGACGCUGAGGCUCGAAAGCCAGGGGAGCGAACGGGAUUAGAUACCCCGGUAGUCCUGGCCGUAAACGAUGGAUACUAGGUGUGGGAGGUAUCGACCCCUACCGUGCCGGAGUUAACGCAAUAAGUAUCCCGCCUGGGGAGUACGGCCGCAAGGCUGAAACUCAAAGGAAUUGACGGGGGCCCGCACAAG